rnacentral:rRNA from 1 species
UACAGAGGUCUCAAGCGUUGUUCGGAUUCAUUGGGCGUAAAGGGUGCGUAGGCGGCCCGGUCAGUUCGUGGUGAAAGCGCGGGGCUCAACCCUGCGUCGGCCAUGAAUACUGCCGCGGCUGGAGCACUGUAGAGGCAGGCGGAAUUCCGGGUGUAGCGGUGGAAUGCGUAGAGAUCCGGAAGAACACCGGUGGCGAAGGCGGCCUGCUGGGCAGUUGCUGACACUGAGGCGCGACAGCGUGGGGAGCAAACAGG